CCAAACACUUUUUUUGCUGCUUGAUAGAAAAGUAAGCUUUAACCAUUCUUCUUUUACAUGAUUGUUACUGGCGACCCUUCCCCUUUAAGACAGGUAGUCAUAUGACGUAAAGUUAUCUCAA